rnacentral:rRNA from 1 species
GCUUGCUGCUUUGCUGACGAGUGGCGGACGGGUGAGUAAUGUCUGGGAAACUGCCUGAUGGAGGGGGAUAACUACUGGAAACGGUGGCUAAUACCGCAUAACGUCGCAAGACCAAAGAGGGGGACCUUCGGGCCUCUUGCCAUCAGAUGUGCCCAGAUGGGAUUAGCUUGUUGGUGAGGUAACGGCUCACCAAGGCGACGAUCCCUAGCUGGUCUGAGAGGAUGACCAGCCACACUGGAACUGAGACACGGUCCAGACUCCUACGGGAGGCAGCAGUGGGGAAUAUUGCACAAUGGGCGCAAGCCUGAUGCAGCCAUGCCGCGUGUAUGAAGAAGGCCUUCGGGUUGUAAAGUACUUUCAGCGGGGAGGAAGGUGUUGUGGUUAAUAACCGCAGCAAUUGACGUUACCCGCAGAAGAAGCACCGGCUAACUCCGUGCCAGCAGCCGCGGUAAUACGGAGGGUGCAAGCGUUAAUCGGAAUUACUGGGCGUAAAGCGCACGCAGGCGGUCUGUCAAGUCGGAUGUGAAAUCCCCGGGCUCAACCUGGGAACUGCAUUCGAAACUGGCAGGCUUGAGUCUUGUAGAGGGGGGUAGAAUUCCAGGUGUAGCGGUGAAAUGCGUAGAGAUCUGGAGGAAUACCGGUGGCGAAGGCGGCCCCCUGGACAAAGACUGACGCUCAGGUGCGAAAGCGUGGGGAGCAAACAGGAUUAGAUACCCUGGUAGUCCACGCCGUAAACGAUGUCUACUUGGAGGUUGUGCCCUUGAGGCGUGGCUUCCGGAGCUAACGCGUUAAGUAGACCGCCUGGGGAGUACGGCCGCAAGGUUAAAACUCAAAUGAAUUGACGGGGGCCCGCACAAGCGGUGGAGCAUGUGGUUUAAUUCGAUGCAACGCGAAGAACCUUACCUGGUCUUGACAUCCACGGAAGUUUUCAGAGAUGGAUUGGUGCCUUCGGGAACCGUGAGACAGGUGCUGCAUGGCUGUCGUCAGCUCGUGUUGUGAAAUGUUGGGUUAAGUCCCGCAACGAGCGCAACCCUUAUCCUUUGUUGCCAGCGGUCCGGCCGGGAACUCAAAGGAGACUGCCAGUGAUAAACUGGAGGAAGGUGGGGAUGACGUCAAGUCAUCAUGGCCCUUACGACCAGGGCUACACACGUGCUACAAUGGCGCAUACAAAGAGAAGCGACCUCGCGAGAGCAAGCGGACCUCAUAAAGUGCGUCGUAGUCCGGAUUGGAGUCUGCAACUCGACUCCAUGAAGUCGGAAUCGCUAGUAAUCGUGGAUCAGAAUGCCACGGUGAAUACGUUCCCGGGCCUUGUACACACCGCCCGUCACACCAUGGGAGUGGGUUGCAAAAGAAGUAGGUAGCUUAACCUUCGGGAGGGCGCUUACCACUUUGUGAUUCAUGACUGGGGUGAAGUCGUAACAAGGUAACCGUAGGGGAACCUGCGGUUGGAUCACCUCCUUACCUUAAAGAA